UCUUUUAUCAAACAUGUAAGUUUGAUGGGACUUAGGAAUAAAUAAGUCCAAGUAAAAUUUCAUGAAUAAUGAAAUAAGAGUUACUCUCUACGGAUAGUGGGAGUAAUGGUAAGCAGAAACAUCCGAUCUCACGGAUAGUGGGAGGCAUGUCACUUGGUUAAUUUGGUCAAGUGGGAGAUGUUAGCUAGACUCGGUCAUGGUGACCAAAUCAACGUUUGUUUCUCUGUUGAGAGAAACGUGGGAACGUGGAAUGGUUUGUUGAGAGGAAAUCUCUCAUGGGGCGGAUUUGAGGGGGGUGGAGAUAGUGGGCUUAGCCCCUAUAAAAGGAGGGUUAAUCUCCUUCAGAAUACACAACAACGAAGAAAAAGAUAAAAACCUCUUACCCAUUAUCGGAGCCCCCCUCAAAAUUCCAUCGCUGCUCCUCUGAUUUCAAGCACUGGAUAUGAGUUGGAAAUUAGCUUCUAAUGGUAAUUGAUUAGAAUAUUUUCUUGUUGACGAAUAGAAGAUUUUUGCUUUAUUCGAUUUAUAGAAUUCGAAUCGAUUCACAUUUAUUGCACGAGUUUUUAAUCAAUCUGGUGUCUUUUUUACACAGACUUAUCCGAAUCCAUUGCAGAAUAAUCCAGCUUAUUCAGUUGUUAAGGCUUGACGAAGAUGUCUGGAGUUCCAUUAUGGAGCAAAUCACAUAGAUUUAUACAACGCGGAGACAUGCAUCGUCAGGCGAGAGAGCGUAGGAGCGAUCUCGAAUCUACUCAUGUUGCUACAUCCGUACCUAGCAUUGAGGAGUUUACUCCAGUCAGAGGAGGAGGCGAGACGUAAUGCGCAAAAUCGGGCGUUAAAUUUCCAUGGUAGAGCAACCUAUACAGGUGGCUUGAGGAACAUGUGUCGGGCUAUGAAUCGAUUGAAAAGUCAAAUCAUUGAGGAUGGUGGCACACCUACUAUAUUGAAACUAUAUUUGGAUACUCACUCGUCAUCAGUAGAUAAGAUCACCGGAGAGUAUAUAUACCCGGACAACAGCACUAAGGGG